AACGAACGCUGGCGGCAUGCCUAACACAUGCAAGUCGAACGAAGCCUUCGGGCUUAGUGGCGCACGGGUGCGUAACGCGUGGGAAUCUGCCCUUGGGUUCGGAAUAACAGUUAGAAAUGACUGCUAAUACCGGAUGAUGUCUUCGGACCAAAGAUUUAUCGCCCAAGGAUGAGCCCGCGUAGGAUUAGGUAGUUGGUGGGGUAAUGGCCACCAAGCCGACGAUCCUUAGCUGGUCUGAGAGGAUGAUCAGCCACACUGGGACUGAGACACGGCCCAGACUCCUACGGGAGGCAGCAGUGGGGAAUAUUGGACAAUGGGCGAAAGCCUGAUCCAGCAAUGCCGCGUGAGUGAUGAAGGCCUUAGGGUUGUAAAGCUCUUUUACCAGGGAUGAUAAUGACAGUACCUGGAGAAUAAGCUCCGGCUAUCUCCGUGCCAGCCGCCGCAGUAA
rnacentral:rRNA from 1 species